GCAUUGGUAGUUCACUGGUUGAGUUCUCAUCUUCCACGUGGGAGAUCUGGGUUCAAUUCAUGGCCAGUGUA
rnacentral:tRNA from 1 species